AACCAACAGGGAUUGCCCUAGUAACGGCGAGUGAAGCGGCAGCAGCUCAAAUUUGAAAUCUGGCCCCCCGGGUCCGAGUUGUAAUUUGCAGAGGAUGCUUCGGGCCCGGCGCCCUCCGAGUUCCCUGGAACGGGACGCCACAGAGGGUGAGAGCCCCGUCUGGUCGGACGCCGAGGCCCGUGUGAAGCUCCUUCGACGAGUCGAGUAGUUUGGGAAUGCUGCUCAAAACGGGAGGUAUAUGUCUUCUAAAGCUAAAUACCGGCCAGAGACCGAUAGCGCACAAGUAGAGUGAUCGAAAGAUGAAAAGCACUUUGGAAAGAGGGUUAAAGAGUACGUGAAAUUGUUGAAAGGGAAGCGUCUACGACCAGACCCGGGCCCGACGGAUCACCCGGCGUUCUCGCCGGCGCACUCCGCCGGGCCCAGGCCAGCAUCAGUCCGGGGCGGGGGACAAAGGCUCUGGGAACGUGGCUCCGCCUGGAGUGUUAUAGCCCACCGCGCAAUGCCCCGCGCCGGACUGAGGUUCGCGCACCGCAAGGAUGCUGGCGUAAUGGUCGUCGGCGACCCGUCUUGAAACACGGACCAAGGAGUCGUCUUCGUAUGCGAGUGUCGGGGUGCCAAACCCCCACGCGGAAUGAAAGUGAACGCAGGUGAGAGCCUUUGGCGCAUCACCGACCGAUCCUGACGUUCUCAGAUGGAUUUGAGUAGGAGCAUACGGGGCCGGACCCGAAAGAAGGUGAACUAUGCCUGUGUAGGGUGAAGCCAGAGGAAACUCUGGUGGAGGCUCGCAGCGGUUCUNACGUGCGAAUCGAUCGUCAAACAUGGGCAUGGGGGCGAAAGACUAAUCGAAC
rnacentral:rRNA from 1 species